AUUGAACGCUGGCGGCAUGCUUUACACAUGCAAGUCGAACGGCAGCGCGGGCUUCGGCCUGGCGGCGAGUGGCGAACGGGUGAGUAAUGCAUCGGAACGUGCCCAGUAGUGGGGGAUAGCCCGGCGAAAGCCGGAUUAAUACCGCAUACGACCUGAGGGUGAAAGCGGGGGACCGAAAGGCCUCGCGCUAUUGGAGCGGCCGAUGUCGGAUUAGCUAGUUGGUGGGGUAAAGGCUUACCAAGGCGACGAUCCGUAGCUGGUCUGAGAGGACGACCAGCCACACUGGAACUGAGACACGGCCCAGACUCCUACGGGAGGCAGCAGUGGGGAAUUUUGGACAAUGGGGGCAACCCUGAUCCAGCCAUGCCGCGUGCGUGAAGAAGGCCUUCGGGUUGUAAACCGCUUUUGUUCGGGAAGAAAACCUCUGGGCUAAUACCCCGGGGGGAUGACGGUACCGGAAGAAUAAGCACCGGCUAACUACGUG
rnacentral:rRNA from 1 species